rnacentral:misc_RNA from 1 species
GAGUUGUCCUUGACUUGCUUUGCCCUGCGGGCUCCCUGCACUUCGGUGCGGCCAACCGCCGUGGAGCUGUCUCUUCACUGUUUCCUUCGUCGUGCUUUUCAAGCCGGGGAGGAACGCUCCGAUCGGUUGCCUGUGCGGUUGUACCCUUGAGCGGUAUUUUUCCGGCCGACUUGCGAUGCUUGCGACGUCGGCAGCUUAUGUCGACGGGCGCAGCCGAGUAGAUGGCACGGUGCGUGCGCGGUUUCGGGCGAAGGCCCUGUCGCCGCGGGCGUAUUUUGUCGGCUCUCACGGAUGCGGUGCCCAUCGAGGAUUCCACGGGCCUCUGGCUUGUGGAUUUCUUCGGGAUGUCCGUCGCGCUCUGGCCGUCGCUCUGCCGCUCCGCUCUCUUGGUAGAGCGAGAGGGGCGGAGCGUUGCUCCGUUGCGCGUGCGAGAUGUUUGUCCCCUCGAAUUGAACCGAAUGAGCGACUGUCGUGCGUCGCCGUGCGGCGGUGCUCCCCGUCCCCGCCUCGUGGCGUGGGGCGCGGGAUGCGCCUGUCUCGCGGCGCGCCGGCUCUCGUUUAGGACGUGCUACCUGGUUGAUCCUGCCA